rnacentral:rRNA from 1 species
ACUCCUACGGGAGGCAGCAGUGGGGAAUAUUGCACAAUGGGCGCAAGCCUGAUGCAGCCAUGCCGCGUGUAUGAAGAAGGCCUUCGGGUUGUAAAGUACUUUCAGCAGUGAGGAAGGUGGGUAUGUUAAUAGCAUAUUCAUUUGACGUUAGCUGCAGAAGAAGCACCGGCUAACUCCGUGCCAGCAGCCGCGGCAAUACGGAGGGUGCGAGCGUUAAUCGGAAUUACUGGGCGUAAAGCGCAUGCAGGUGGUUUGUUAAGUCAGAUGUGAAAGCCCGGGGCUCAACCUCGGAAUUGCAUUUGAAACUGGCAAACUAGAGUACUGUAGAGGGGGGUAGAAUUUCAGGUGUAGCGGUGAAAUGCGUAGAGAUCUGAAGGAAUACCGGUGGCGAAGGCGGCCCCCUGGACAGAUACUGACACUCAGAUGCGAAAGCGUGGGGAGCAAACAGGAUUAGAAACCCCUGGUAGGCUCUGC